UCCUGCAUAAUUAUUUGAAUAGGGAGAAAUUACCAGGAAAGCUAUUACAAGAGAGAGAGAAAAAUGUGAUAAAAGAGAAACAACCAAUAUGAAGGAACAAACAUGUAUUACAAGAGAGAGAAAAUGUGAUAAAAGAGAAACAGCAAAUAUGAAGGAACAGUUGGAAGCCCUCAUAAGCAAGACAACAACAUCACAAAUUUUUCCAUACAAUAAAAGAUGCAAACAUAUUUGCUUUAAUUAUGUUUGGAUUAAAGUUUGCUAACUUAAAUUAACUAUAUUUUGCAAACAUUAUAGAAAUUGUUUUAACUAACUUUUGAAGCAGAAAUUGCAAUGAUAAAGUUAUUGUUCAAACAUUAGUUUGGAGGUCUUCAAUUCAAACACAGUAUGUCUAUGAACAAAGACAUGAAAUUUUACCUGCAAAUACAUACUGCAUCAAAAUACCAGCCUUUUCAAAUUCAACCAGUCAUGUGAGUAAUCUUGACACUCCACAGUGAAAUGGUAAUGAUGCUUCAAACAAAGCUUUAUCUUCACACUAUAAUCGGAGUACUAAAGGUAAAGAUAAUGAGACAUCAAUCAGAAAAAGACACGUAGUUGAACUACAGAAAUGCAAAGAGAUAGUACAUAUUCAAACAUUAAAAAAUAGACCAAGUGUUUAAACACUUCAACAGUAUAAAAAGCUAUUAGUGAUUUUUUUUUUUUUUAUUGAGCAGUGCUUAUAUGUUAUAUUCAAGUUGAUGAUUUACAUUUUGAGCAUCUUGAAGCAACCCGCAACCCCCACCAGCAAAACAUUUUAUAACUACAAAAUUCAAUCUAUCUAACCACAUCUUGAUCUUAUCUUAAUCUUAAUAAUAUAAAUCCAAAGAAAUGUUGCAAGCAAACCGUGAAAAACCCCUAGGGUUGCUCAUAGUUUUUUUUACUUAAAUGCCCUCAUAUGGGCGCCAAAGUGCAGAGGAUUUGUGGCAUUUCUACUAAUGAUGAUAUACAACAAUCAAGCAUAUCAUAUGUUUGAUAGUUUCAAGAGAAGAGAGGCUGCAUACAAUCAUUGGCUCACGUGUCUCAAUGCAAACCUUAUGAUGCAUUCUUAACCAACUAUUUGUAUAUGAACAAAGACAUGAAAUGUUACUUGCAACUUUGGACAAAAUGCAUCAAGGAAACUAAAGAUAUAGAGAGAUGUAUUAUUACCACUUUCAGUGAUGUAAAUAGAAGGAAUAUUGUACUCUUUCUUGAAGUAUAACAUAAGGUCACGAAUUCCUCUUGGACAAA